CCUACGGGUGGCUGCAGUGGGGGAUAUUGCACAAUGGGGGAAACCCUGAUGCAGCGACGCCGCGUGUGGGAAGACGGUCCUCUGGAUUGUAAACCACUGUCCCCAGGGACUAAGAUGACGGUACCUUGGCAGGAAGCUCCUGCUAACUACGUGCCAGCAGCCGCGGUAAUACGGAGGAUUCGAGCGUUAUCCGGAUUUAUUGGGGUUAAGGGGUGCGUAGGCUGUCGGAUAAGUUAGAGGUCAAAUGUCGGGGCUUAACCCCGUGCCUGCCUCUGAAACUGUUCGACUAGAGAGCGGAUGCAGCAGGCGGAAUGAGUAGUGUAGCGGUGAAAUGCUUAGAUAUUACUCAGAACACCGAUUGCGCAGGCAGCUUGCUAAUCCGCAUCUGACGCUGAUGCACGAAAGCGUGGGUAGCGAACAGGAUUAGAUACCCUUGUAGUC
rnacentral:rRNA from 1 species